CGCAAGGGGAGUGGCAGACGGGUGAGUAACACGUGGGAACCUUCCCUAUAGUACGGAAUAGCCCAGGGAAACUUGGAGUAAUACCGUAUACGCCCGAAAGGGGAAAGAAAUUCGCUAUAGGAUGGGCCCGCGUAGGAUUAGCUAGUUGGUGAGGUAAUGGCUCACCAAGGCGACGAUCCUUAGCUGGUUUGAGAGAACGACCAGCCACACUGGGACUGAGACACGGCCCAGACUCCUACGGGAGGCAGCAGUGGGGAAUAUUGGACAAUGGGCGCAAGCCUGAUCCAGCCAUGCCGCGUGAGUGAUGAAGGCCUUAGGG
rnacentral:rRNA from 1 species